GGAGUUAGCCGGUGCUUCUUCUGUGAGUGAUGUCCUUCCUGCCGGCUAUUAACCCGCAGGCCUUCUUCCUCACUGAAAGUGCUUUACAACCCGAAGGCCUUCUUCACACACGCGGCAUGGCUGGAUCAGGGUUGCCCCCAUUGUCCAAUAUUCCCCACUGCUGCCUCCCGUAGGAGUCUGGGCCGUGUCUCAGUCCCAGUGUGGCUGAUCAUCCUCUCAGACCAGCUACGGAUCGUCGCCUUGGUGAGCCGUUACCUCACCAACCAGCUAAUCCGACAUAGGCUCAUCCGAUAGCGCGAGGCCCGAAGGUCCCCCGCUUUCCCCCGUAGGGCGUAUGCGGUAUUAGCCUGGGUUUCCCCCAGGUUAUCCCCCACUACCGGGAAGAUUCCUAUGCAUUACUCACCCGUCCGCCGCUCGCCACCAGGGAGCAAGCUCCCCGUGCUGCCGCUCGACUUGCAUGUGUUAGGCCUGCCGCCAGCGUUCAAUCUGAGCCAUGAUCAAACUCUGA
rnacentral:rRNA from 1 species